UCCUUUGGAAAUAGGAAAUUUGACCAACCUUGAAGAGUUAGACCUCUCUCACAACCAAAUCAACGGAUCCAUCCCUUUGGAAAUACAAAACUUGACAAAUUUCUUUUUAUCCAAUUUGAUUCUUCUAGAUCUUUCAUACAACCAAAUCACCGGUUUGAUUCCUUUUUCAUUAGGCAAUUUAACAAACUUGGCAAGGCUAGACCUCUCUCACAACCAAAUCAACGGAUCCAUCAUUGUAGAAAUACAGAACUUGACAAAUUUGGAGGAAUUAUAUUUGAAUUCAAACAAUAUCAGUGGUUCAAUUCCUUCAACUUUGAGCCUUUUAUCUAAUUUGAUUCUUCUAGAUCUUUCCUACAACCAAAUCACCGGUUUGAUUCCUUUUUCAUUAGGCAAUUUAACAAACUUGGCAAGGCUAAACCUCUCUCACAACCAAAUCAACGGAUCCAUCCUUGUAGAAAUACAGAACUUGACAAAUUUAGAGGAAUUAUAUUUGAAUUCAAACAAUAUCAGUGGUUCGAUUCCUUCAACUUUGAGCCUUUUAUCCAAUUUGAUUUUUCUAGAUCUUUCCUCCAACCAAAUCACCGGUUUGAUUCCUUUUUCAUUAGGCAAUUUAACAAACUUGGCAAGGCUAAACCUCUCUCACAACCAAAUCAACGGAUCCAUCCUUGUAGAAAUACAGAACUUGACAAAUUUGGAGGAAUUAUAUUUGAAUUCAAACAAUAUCAGUGGUUCGAUUCCUUCAACUUUGAGCCUUUUAUCCAAUUUGAUUUUUCUAGAUCUUUCCUACAACCAAAUCACCGGUUUGAUUCCUUUUUCAUUAGGCAAUUUAACAAACUUGACAACUCUAUACUUCUCUCACAACCAAAUCAACGGAUCCAUCCCUUCAUCUUUGAAGUAUUGUAAUAAUUUGUUCUCCCUAGAUUUAAGCUUCAAUAAUUUAAGUGAAGAGAUACCCUCCGAACUAUAUGGUUUGACCUAUUUAAAAUAUGUGAAUUUUCGUUACAAUAACCUCUCAGGCUCUGUUUCCUUCCAUUGGCUACAACUCUUUCAUGUGUAUUUCACCUGUGAUUCUCUUCAUAGCCAAAGAACCAACAAUCCUGAAAUUUUUCAAGAUACUGCAUUUGAGGGCAAUAAAGAUUUACACCCUGAUUUCUCACGUUGUCUAUCUAUUUACUCCCCACCUUCACAAACCUACUUGUUACCUUCAAAAGACAACAUAAGGAUUCAUUCCAUCAAGAUAUUUCUUCCUAUCACCACCAUUUCACUUUGUCUCUUGUGCCUCGGAUGUUGUUAUCUGUCUCGACGCAAGGCUACCCAACCCGAGCCAGCAUCAUCAAAGAAUGGAGACUUGUUUUCCAUAUGGAAUUAUGAUGGGACGAUUGCAUACGAAGACAUCAUUGCAGCGACCAAGAACUUUGACCUCAGAUACUGUAUCGGAACCGGUGGUUAUGGGAGCGUCUACCGAGCACAACUUCCAAGUGGGAAAUUAGUUGCCUUGAAGAAACUUCAUCGUCGAGAGGCAGAGGAGCCGGCUUUUGACAAGAGUUUCAAAAAUGAGGUGGAAGUGCUCACACAAAUACGUCACAGGAGCAUUGUAAAGCUUUAUGGAUUUUGUUUGCACCAGCGCUGCAUGUUUCUUGUUUACGAGUACAUGGAAAAGGGAAGCUUGUUUUGUGCCUUGAGAAAUGAUGUUGGAGCUGUGGAAUUGAAAUGGAUGAAAAGAGCAGGCAUCAUCAAAGACAUUGCUCACGCAUUAUCUUACUUGCAUCAUGACUGCAACCCGCCAAUUGUUCAUCGAGACAUAUCAAGCAGCAAUGUUCUGUUGAAUUCAGAAUCCAAGUCUUUUGUUGCUGAUUUUGGCGUGGCUAGACUUCUCGAUCCUGAUUCGUCCAACCAUACUGUACUUGCUGGUACCUAUGGAUACAUUGCCCCAGGUAAAAAU
rnacentral:lncRNA from 1 species